AGGACGAACGCUGGCGGCGUGCUUAACACAUGCAAGUCGAGCGGAAAGGCCUCUUCGGGGGUACUCGAGCGGCGAACGGGUGAGUAACACGUGAGUAACCUGCCCUGGACUUUGGGAUAACCCUCGGAAACGGGGGCUAAUACCGGAUAUGACGUGCCGCCGCAUGGUGGUGGGUGGAAAGUAUUUUUUGGUCUGGGAUGGGCUCGCGGCCUAUCAGCUUGUUGGUAGGGUGAUGGCCUACCAAGGCGACGACGGGUAGCCGG
rnacentral:rRNA from 1 species